UCACAAAUUCACUUCUCUAAAAUCAAAAUAUCAAAUCAUUAUGCAGGUUGGUUUCUAACCCCAUUGAAUACAAUGAUCUUUCUGCUUCUCCAAAUUUUGAAUUCCCUGUGUUUGAGGCCGAGGAGGAAAAUGACGAAGAAGUCAGUGAUGAAUUAUCUUGUCUUCUUAAUCAUGAAGAAAAAGCCAUUCAUUGAUAUGUUGGUAGACAAUACUGCUAAAUUCGAAGUCUUUUCGUUUAUGGACGGAUUUUACGGAUAUAAUCAGAUCAAGA
rnacentral:lncRNA from 1 species